rnacentral:tRNA from 1 species
GGGAAUGUAGCUUGGUGGUAGAGUGCUUGCCUAGCAUGCAUGAAGUCCUGGGUUCAAUUCCUCAGUACCA